CCUACGGGCGGCAGCAGUGGGGAAUAUUGGGCAAUGGACGCAAGUCUGACCCAGCAACGCCGCGUGAAGGAAGAAGGCUUUCGGGUUGUACACUUCUUUUAAGGGGGAAGAGGAGAAGACGGUACCCCUUGAAUAAGCCACGGCUAACUACGUGCCAGCAGCCGCGGUAAUACGUAGGGGGCCAGCGUUGUCCGGAUUUAUGGGGUGUAAAGGGCGUGUAGCCGGGCCGACAAGUCAGUUGUGAAAGUCGCGGGCUUAACCGGCGAAUUGCAUUUGAAACUAUAUGUCUUGAGUACCGUAGAGGUAAGCGGAAGUCGUGGUGUAGGGGUGAAAGGCGUAGAUAUAAGGAAGAACACCGAUGGCGAAGGCAGAUUACUGGACGGUAACUGACAGUGAGGCGCGAAAGCGUGGGGAGCAAACAGGAUUAGAUACCCGUGUAGUC
rnacentral:rRNA from 1 species